rnacentral:rRNA from 1 species
GAAACCGUGUGCUUACAAGUAGUCAGAGCCCGUUAAUGGGUGAUGGCGUGCCUUUUGUAGAAUGAACCGGCGAGUUACGAUUUGAUGCAAGGUUAAGCAGUAAAUGUGGAGCCGUAGCGAAAGCGAGUCUGAAUAGGGCGUUUAGUAUUUGGUCGUAGACCCGAAACCAGGUGAUCUACCCUUGGUCAGGUUGAAGUUCAGGUAACACUGAAUGGAGGACCGAACCGACUUACGUUGAAAAGUGAGCGGAUGAACUGAGGGUAGCGGAGAAAUUCCAAUCGAACCUGGAGAUAGCUGGUUCUCUCCGAAAUAGCUUUAGGGCUAGCCUCAAGUGAUGAUUAUUGGAGGUAGAGCACUGUUUGGACGAGGGGCCCCUCUCGGGUUACCGAAUUCAGACAAACUCCGAAUGCCAAUUAAUUUAACUUGGGAGUCAGAACAUGGGUGAUAAGGUCCGUGUUCGAAAGGGAAACAGCCCAGACCACCAGCUAAGGUCCCAAAAUAUAUGUUAAGUGGAAAAGGAUGUGGCGUUGCCCAGACAACUA